CAACGUUUAUAAUGAAACUUUUGUCUCAUGAAACCAGGACUGGGUGGUGACAUUGGCAGAACUGUGUUUCUCUGAUUUUGAGCCCAUCUUCCUAGAAUCCCUUCUAGGGGUCCAAAAUAGUGGGUGCACGCCAGCCCAGAUGCUCAUGUCCCAGGGUACUUUCUCCUGCCUUCCUACACUUCUCUUUGCGAUCAAUCCUGUGGAAUAAAGAGCGACAACAAAAGAGGAAGAUUUGGGGUAUUUUGCUUUGGACUGUAACUCGCAGUCUCAUUUCCUUUAGAAACGAAUCUCGCUUCCAUAGGAAAGUCAGGUCCGGCGGGACGCUUUUUUUUUUUUUUCCCCCAGUGUUCAUUGUGGACAUGAAUGGGUUGAAGUCAAACAAAGUAAACCGAACUAAACCCACCACCCAGUAUCUGGACCCUGUGCCGGGGUUUGGACCACGUACGGGCUUGACGCCUGUAUGCGGGGGGUGUGGCACAGCGUUUUGCCUGGUGCCCUGAAUCGGGGUGAGCGAACGUUCUUUCCCUUUGGCAGGCCUGGCCAUCUGUUACUUUGGAAACCCCAGAAACGCAUCCUGAGAUAAGCUGGCACUGUACUUUUCCUCUUAGAUCCGUAGUAGAAAAGUAGCUCUGAAACGCUCUAUCUCCGACCUGCCUUUUUUCCCUUUUGGAGCAGAAAACAUUGACAUUUAUGAAAAUCUGGGCCAGCCGUAGUUAGGCAGCCUAAGAAUGAGGUAGGCAUUUCCUAUUAGGUAACGUUGAAAGGAGCAGAGACAUUUCCUCCUCCUUAUGUUCUAGGAAAAUACGGCAACACCACAGAUGGAGAAACCGGCUGUAGAACGAAGCUGGUCCUUUGGGAUGCUUUUUAAUUGGAAGCCUCUAGAGGAUUUUUCGUGUUCCUGUCUCCUGAGUUAGGCCUAACCUAGCCCACAAAUGGUGUUGACAGCUGUCCUUUGCUGGGUGAUUUCACUGGGCCUGGGACCCACUGACGGAAAAGGGAUAUUAGCGGAAAGGACAACUAACAUGCCGCACACACAACAGAAGCCCAGACUCCCCGGAAAAACGUCUUACCGGUCAGCGACUUAACGGCAGUCUCACUGCUACCAUUAGGUUUCAGAAUCAUCCUGGUGAGUGCGGACAAGGCCCAAGGUUCCCUGCUCCCCGGUGUUGGUUGUAUUCCGUGCAACUGACUCUUCGGGCGUCUUGUCGUGAAGCCGGCAGUGCUGAGUGAAUAAAUCCAAGCUGUGUAUGGCAUUACAUACAAAACUCUA